GGGGGUGAAAUGGUUUCGACGGGCAGUUGAAACUCAUCUUGCAUCGCGUAGUUGACCGAGAGGCUACGUUAAAAGUCGGUCAGGCUUUAAACGCCAACGAAGAAUCAUACAACGCUGUAGCCGCGUAAGCCGCUACAACCAUCUACCUGAAUAGUUGCUGCGACGAUUCAGGCUAGGUGUAACAUAAAAGCAGCUAGUGGCUAGGGGAGAUUAUCACUGUGACCCUACAUGAGUGCCUACUGUGGUUGCUGGAAACAUUGGAACUUUAGCUUUUUAUCCUGUGUUCCAAAAGAUAACAAAAAAGAUAACGAUGUAGAUGGAUGAAUGUAAAUCUGUUCGGACACGGGUUCAAUUCCCGUCACUUCCACCG
rnacentral:tmRNA from 1 species